rnacentral:rRNA from 1 species
AACGAACGCUGGCGGCAGGCCUAACACAUGCAAGUCGAACGCUCGUAGCAAUACGAGAGUGGCAGACGGGUGAGUAACACGUGGGAACCUUCCCUAUGGUUCGGAAUAGCUCAGGGAAACUUGAGGUAAUACCGGAUAAGCCCUUCGGGGAAGGAUUAUCGCCAUUGGAUGGGCCCGCGUCGGAUUAGCUAGUUGGUGAGGUAACGGCUCACCGAGGCGACGAUCCGUAGCUGGUCUUAGAGGAGUGA